rfam:Triticum urartu cultivar G1812 contig1095529, whole genome shotgun sequence.
AAGCUACUCCCUCCGUUCAGAAAUACUUAUCAUCACAAUGGAUAAAAGAAGAUGUAUCUAGAUGUAUUUUAGUUCUAAAUACAUCACUUUUUGUUCAUUUGGAUGACAAAUAUUUUUGGACGGAGGGAGUAGCUA